AUCUUUCAGAUCGUGAUAUGGGCGCACGUCAUCGUGCCCGUGCGCACUCCAUCCAGAUCAUUAGAGUACAGACAGUGGAGGCAUCCAAGUGCAGAAGAUCCAACAUCAAGCAGUUCCAUAACUCCACCAUCAAGUUUCCUCUACCCCACAGGGUGGUCAAGCAACUGCACAAGCCAAGAUUCGCAACCGCGCGACCAAACACGCACUAUUAGCAUGGACCUGCAUUUCUGUCUGCAGAUUUUGUAAUUAUAGUGAAUCUGAAACAUACUGAGAAGAAAAAAAAUAAAUGACUUUGAAGAAUG